AAAUGUUUCAUAAAUCUUUUCCAAAAAUGGUUAUUGCCUGCCUACAUCCAUAAGAUAUUAUGAAGAACUAGCAGAGCGCGUACCACAAGGCCCAAUGUCGUCUAAAUCUAAACACGCUGAACCAAAUUGUACAUUAUCAAAGAUAUCAGUGCCCUAAGAUUGCCUUUUUUUUCUUCACCUAGAUCCAUGUCUCCCUGGGAAAUUGGUGAAAACGUCAAAAAGCACCAACAAAAAGCACAAACAAGCCGAAACACGCAUGUUCCAGUUCAUACUGUGCAUGUGCUGCAGUAAAGAGAUCCAUGAAUUAUUCCCUCGGAAAUCAGUGAAAAUGUCAAAGAAUGGCCCCCGUCACGCGAUGUUAAAGAAAAACCUGGAUCCGCCCCCUGAUCUGGAUAGGCACCAAAUUUAGGUGUCACCCCCCCCCCUGACUGUUCCGGAAAUGUUCCUGUUGAGGUGAACGCAUCUGACCAAGACAAUCUCCUGCUGCGUUCUCCAUAUGUUAAAGGCAAAUAAACUCUGUCCGAACCCAAUGUUGGCGACAUUUUCUGGAGAUCAUCUGAAAACAUCUGCGAUAACAGAACCAGGGGCAGCAAUGAAUUUAUUCUUUCGUAAUGCAAAGGAACAUUUAGCGAUGACAUUAUCAUGUAUGAAACAACUGACUCUGGCACCCUGGAGCAUGCACACUCCCUUUGUGUAACACUGAAAGAAAAAUGAUGUUAUCAAGUCAAAUACCUCGACAGUGCAUCGGCUUUGCCAAUGGAAAUGCACAUUAGCUUAGCUCAAUAUCGCCUUUUGAAUGGGAUCCAACUCAGCAGGCUAAAUUCAAUAUGAAAAUGCAAUCAGCAUAAAGGUAAACAACCUCAAAUGUAUCUAUACCUUUCCGGAGAUGACAUGAAUAGAUGCACAGUGGGACGUGGCCGUGAGUACACACGGCUCAACAGAUUGCUUGCAUGUUUAACAAAACACAUCACAUGCGUGCAGAGAUAAAGCCGGGGAUUUUUUUUUUGUUUGAUAUUCAAAUACUUCUCCUAUGAGUCAGUAAAUCAACUUCAACCCCUGCCCUGUUGAAUAUAAUUUGAAGGCUAUGCCCCCGACGAAUAGAAUCUGAUGAGCGCUUACCUUUGCCGAAACUCCCAUCACUCUUCAGGCCAUGACACAAAUGAGUGGUCAUUUAUAAUGAAGAGGCUGUUUUUAUCAGAACAAAAAACAAUCAAUGUGACACCGUUGUUACAACUGAAUUAUUCAUCAGCUGUUAUUAGGAACUUUCAUUUACAUGUACUAAUUGGACUGACUGCU